rnacentral:rRNA from 1 species
GAAUCUUCCACUAAUGCGCGAAAGCGUGAUGGAGCGACGCCGCGUGGGCGAUGAAGGCCUUCGGGUUGUAAAGCCCUGUUGGAUGGGCGUAAUCCCUCGGGAUGAAUACUCCUCGAGGUUGAACUCCCAUCGGAGGACGCACCGGCUAAACUCGUGCCAGCAGCCGCGGUAAUACGAGUGGUGCGAGCGUUGUUCGGAAUUACUGGGCAUAAAGAGCACGUAGGCGGUCUGGUAAGUCUGCUGUGAAAUCCCCCGGCUCAACCGGGGAACUGCAGUUGAUACUGCCGGGCUAGAGUGCGGGAGGGGAGAGCGGAAUUCCUGGUGGAGCGGUGAUAUGCGUAGAUAUCAGGAGGAACGCCGGAGGCGAAAGCGGCUCUCUGGUCCGCAACUGACGCUGAGGUGCGAAAGCUAGGGGAGCGAACAGG